AUUGAACGCUGGCGGCAUGCCUUACACAUGCAAGUCGAACGGCAGCACGGGGGCAACCCUGGUGGCGAGUGGCGAACGGGUGAGUAAUGCAUCGGAACGUGCCCAGUAGUGGGGGAUAACUAGUCGAAAGAUUAGCUAAUACCGCAUACGACCUACGGGUGAAAGCGGGGGAUUCGCAAGAACCUCGCGCUAUCGGAGCGGCCGAUGUCUGAUUAGCUAGUUGGCGGGGAAAAGCCCACCAAGGCUUCGAUCAGUAGCUGGUCUGAGAGGACGACCAGCCACACUGGGACUGAGACACGGCCCAGACUCCUACGGGAGGCAGCAGUGGGGAAUUUUGGACAAUGGGCGCAAGCCUGAUCCAGCCAUGCCGCGUGCGGGAAGAAGGCCU
rnacentral:rRNA from 1 species